UGGUAGUNCACGCCGUAAACGAUGAGUGCUAGGUGUUAGGUCCNUUCCGGGACUUAGUGCCGCAGCUAACGCAUUAAGCACUCCGCCUGGGGAGUACGACCGCAAGGUUGAAACUCAAAGGAAUUGACGGGGGCCCGCACAAGCGGUGGAGCAUGUGGUUUAAUUCGAAGCAACGCGAAGAACCUUACCAGGUCUUGACAUCCCGAUGCCCGCUCUAGAGAUAGAGCUUUACUUCGGUACAUCGGUGACAGGUGGUGCAUGGUUGUCGUCAGCUCGUGUCGUGAGAUGUUNNNNNANNNNNNCGCAACGAGCGCAACCCUUAUUGUUAGUUGCCAUCAUUCAGUUGGGCACUCUAGCGAGACUGCCGGUAAUAAACCGGAGGAAGGUGGGGAUGACGUCAAAUCAUCAUGCCCCUUAUGACCUGGGCUACACACGUGCUACAAUGGCUGGUACAACGAGUCGCAAGCCGGUGACGGCAAGCUAAUCUCUGAAAGCCAGUCUCAGUUCGGAUUGUAGGCUGCAACUCGCCUACAUGAAGUCGGAAUCGCUAGUAAUCGCGGAUCAGCACGCCGCGGUGAAUACGUUCCCGGGCCU
rnacentral:rRNA from 1 species